rnacentral:rRNA from 1 species
AACGUAGGACACGAGCGUUAUCCGGAUUUACUGGGCGUAAAGGGCGGGUAGGUGGUGCGAUAAGACUGGUGUGAAAGCCUUCGGCUUAACCGAGGGAGGACACUGGUGACUGUCGGACUUGAGGCAGAUAGAGGGGUGUAGAAUUCCGGGUGUAGUGGUGAAAUGCGUAGAGAUCCGGAGGAACACCGGUGGCGAAGGCGGCAUCCUGGACCGGUAUUGACGCUGAGGCGCGAAAGCCAGGGGAGCAAACGGG